rnacentral:rRNA from 1 species
GCGCACCAGCGAGAAUCCUUCGCAAUGCGGGAAACCGCGACGAGGGGACUCCCAGUGCCUACGCUCAGCGUAGGCUGUUCCCGAGCCUAGAAAGCUCGGGGAGUAAGGGCUGGGUAAGACGGGUGCCAGCCGCCGCGGUAAUACCCGCAGCCCGAGUGGUGGCCACUAUUAUUGGGCCUAAAGCGUCCGUAGCCGGCCCGGUAAAUGCCUGGGUAAAUCGUGAGGCCUAACCUCACGAAUUCCGGGUAGACUGCCGGGCUAGGGACCGGAGGAGGGAGAGGGUACUCCAGGGGUAGGGGUGAAAUCCUGUAAUCCCUGGAGGACCACCGGUGGCGAAGGCGCUCUCCUAGGACGGGUCCGACGGUGAGGGACGAAAGCCAGGGGAGCGAACCGGAUUAGAUACCCGUGUAGU